rnacentral:rRNA from 1 species
AGCAGCCGCGGUAAUUCCAGCUCCAAUAGCGUAUAUUAAAGUUGUUGCAGUUAAAAAGCUCGUAGUUGAAUUUCGGGGUCAGUAGGCUGGUCGUGCCACCGGUACGUACUGGUCUCACUGAUUCCUCCUUCCUGAAGAACCGUAAUGCCAUUAAUUUGGUGUUGCGGGGAAACAGGACUGUUACUUUGAAAAAAUUAGAGUGUUUAAAGCAAGCUAACGCUUGAAUACAUUAGCAUGGAAUAAUGAAAUAGGACGAUCGAUCCUAUUUUGUUGGUUUCUAGGAUUGACGUAAUGAUUAAUAGGGAUAGUUGGG